CUGGGCGCCACUUUACCCGACCAGGGUGGCUCUCCCCGGGCUGGGCGAGGUGCUUGGGCGGGUCCCCCACCCGAGUCAACCCCACGAGUAAUGGCUGACUCAAGUGGAGUGGAAGAAGGCAGCGACUUCAGUCCAGCAUCGACCGUAUGGCUGUCGCGGACAGAAAGUGACUUUCGGGUGACCUAGGAUGAGGAACACCACCAGCCUGUGCCGCCGCCGCCGCCUCCUGAAUUAAUUGAGGACGAUGAGAACGUAAUGUAUACUAAAAAUGAUUUAAACUCAC